rnacentral:rRNA from 1 species
AUUGAACGCUGGCGGCAUGCCUAACACAUGCAAGUCGAACGGGGGUAGCGAUACCCUAGUGGCGGACGGGUGAGGAAUGCGUAGGAAUCUACCCACGAGAGGGGGACAACCUGGGGAAACUCAGGCUAAUACCGCAUACGCUCGUAAGAGGAAAGCGGGGGAUCUUCGGACCUCGCGCUGGUGGAAGAGCCUACGUCCGAUUAGCUGGUUGGUGAGGUAAAGGCUCACCAAGGCGACGAUCGGUAGCGGGUCUGAGAGGACGGCCCGCCACACUGGGACUGAGACACGGCCCAGACUCCUACGGGAGGCAGCAGUGGGGAAUAUUGGACAAUGGGCGCAAGCCUGAUCCAGCAAUGCCGCGUGGGUGAAGACGGGCCUCGGUU